rnacentral:rRNA from 1 species
AGAGUUGUAUCCUGGCUCAGAUUGAACGCUGGCGGCAUGCCUUACACAUGCAAGUCGAACGGUAACAGGUCUUCGGAUGCUGACGAGUGGCGAACGGGUGAGUAAUACAUCGGAACGUGCCCGAUCGUGGGGGAUAACGAAGCGAAAGCUUUGCUAAUACCGCAUAAGAUCUAAGGAUGAAAGCAGGGGACCGCAAGGCCUUGCGCGAACGGAGCGGCCGAUGGCAGAUUAGGUAGUUGGUGGGAUAAAAGCUUACCAAGCCGACGAUCUGUAGCUGGUCUGAGAGGACGACCAGCCACACUGGGACUGAGACACGGCCCAGACUCCUACGGGAGGCAGCAGUGGGGAAUUUUGGACAAUGGGCGAAAGCCUGAUCCAGCCAUGCCGCGUGCAGGAUGAAGGCCUUCGGGUUGUAAACUGCUUUUGUACGGAACGAAAAGACUCUGGUUAAUACCUGGGGUCCAUGACGGUACCGUAAGAAUAAGCACCGGCUAACUACGUGCCAGCAGCCGCGGUAAUACGUAGGGUGCAAGCGUUAAUCGGAAUUACUGGGCGUAAAGCGUGCGCAGGCGGUUAUAUAAGACAGAUGUGAAAUCCCCGGGCUCAACCUGGGAACUGCAUUUGUGACUGUAUAGCUAGAGUACGGUAGAGGGGGAUGGAAUUCCGCGUGUAG